rnacentral:lncRNA from 1 species
UUUUUGGCAAGAGGAAAAUAAUAGAAAAGGAAGAGAAAGAGGUGUGUGUUUCUGCUUCUGUUGAAAUACUAUUUGUCCUUUAAGGCUGCCUGCUCUGUGAAGUUUUCCUCAAAUUCUGUCCCAUCCCACUCACCCCUGUCAGACUUAACUACUCUUCCUCCAUCCUGCCAUAAGCAUGUGUGAUAAGAGAAAUCAAAGAGGACUAUCAGUCUUCUGUGCAUAGUGAGGGUGCGUGUGUCUAAAGCAGAGUGCAGAAAUGUCUGCAUU